rnacentral:rRNA from 1 species
CCUACGGGUGGCUGCAGUAGGGAAUAUUGCUCAAUGGGGGAAACCCUGAAGCAGCAACGCCGCGUGGAGGAUGAAGGUUUUCUGAGUGGAAACUCCUUUUGGUAGAGAAGAGCAUGACGGUACCUAACGAAUAAUCCCCGGCUAACCCCGGGCCAGCAGCCGCGGGAAUACGGAGGGGGCAAGCGUUACUCGGAAUUACUGGGCGUAAAGGGUGCGUAGGCGGGGUAAUAAGUCAGAUGUGAAAUCCUGUUGCUUAACUCCAGAACUGCAUUUGAAACUGUUACUCUGGAGUGUGGGAGAGGUAGGUGGAAUUCUUGGUGUAGGGGUGAAAUCCGUAGAGAUCAGGAGGAAUACUGAUUGCGAAGGCGGCCUGCUGGAACAUAACUGACGCUGAUGCACGAAAGCGUGGGGAGCAAACAGGAUUAGAUACCCCUGUAGUC